GGUAGCGCACUUUUAACUGCAUUCACUCAGUAUAUCCUUCUUUAAUGCAAGAUAUGCAAUCUGUCUGUAGGUUCAGUAUUUUUGUGAUAUUACUUUUUUCUGUAGAUGUCUGUACACUAGUACCAGUGCGUAGGAGAGAAGUCUAUCGUGUGCUAUUUGGUUCACAUGGAAUACAUACGAAGUACAGUCAUCAGGCAAAAAACCGUCUGAUAUUGCUGUCUCAGUGAUUAAUGUUAGAUCAUGCAGACAUUAUUGUCGUUGGUACAUAUCUUGCAG
rnacentral:lncRNA from 1 species